CAGGAAGGGGGUGGAGAGACAGAGCCAGAUUAGCCGGGACCGUGGGCGGUGAUGGACCUCAACCUGAGUCGUUCGGUGAAACUGAAUGAUGGGCACGUCAUGCCGGUGCUCGGGUUUGGCACUCUUGCUUCUGAUGAUGUUCCUAAGAGCAAGUGUGGUGAGGCCACCAAAGUGGCUAUUGAUGUAGGUUUCCGUCACUUUGAUGCAGCAUACGUCUAUCAAAAUGAGGAGGAAGUUGGCAAGGCCAUUCGAGAGAAGAUCGCUGAAGGCACCGUGAAGAGAGAGGACAUAUUCUAUACCACCAAGCUUUGGACUACUUUCUGUCGCCCAGAAUUGGUUCGACCAGCCCUGGAAAGAUCCCUGAAGGCACUUCAACUGGAUUACGUGGAUCUCUUCAUUAUCCAUUUGCCAAUCGCUAUGAAGCCUGGGGAGGAGCUUAUGCCCAAGGAUGCCAAUGGGGAGGUUAUUUUAGAGACGGUGGACCUGUGUGGCACGUGGGCGGCCAUGGAGAAGUGUAAAGAUGCAGGUUUAGCCAAGUCCAUUGGUGUGUCAAAUUUCAACCACAAGCAGCUGGAAAUGAUCCUGAACAAACCAGGGCUCGAGUACAAGCCCGUGUGCAACCAGGUGGAGUGUCAUCCGUACCUCAACCAGAGCAAACUCCUGGAGUUCUGCAAGUCCAAGGACAUCGUUCUUGUUGCCUACAGUGCCCUGGGAUCCCAAAAGAACCCAGCCUGGGUGGAAAGGGGUAGCCCAUCUCUCUUGGAAGAGCCAGUCUUGAACGCCAUUGCCAAGAAACACAAUAGAAGCCCAGGCCAGGUGGCCCUGCGCUUCCAGCUGCAGCGAGGGGUGGUGGUCCUGGUGAAGAGCUUCAACCAGAAGAGAAUCAAAGAGAACUUCGAGGUCGGUGUGCUCUCCAAGCUAUGAGACCCUAAAUGUCGUGGUGCUCUCUGGAUCAUCUUGUAACACCUUUUCCUCAGCAGAGCUCCCAGCAGGUUUUUGACUUUGAAUUGACUCCAGAAGAUAUGAAAGCAAUUGAAGGCCUCAACAGGAAUUUCCGAUAUUUCAAACUACCAUUUGCUGUCGGUCAUCCUCAUUACCCAUUUUCUGAAGAAUACUGACCGUGAGCUAUCACCAUUCGCUCUACCAGAAUUUCUCCCUUUCAGGGCUCGGAAAGGCUUCUGUGUGUGGUGGAGACGAUUAAAAGCAGUGUCUGUGGCUUCAGGCUGCCUGCCUUUCUUUCUUUUCUUUCUUUCUUUUUUUUAAAGAAACAAUAAAGACUUCAAAAUAAGCAUGUUUUUUC